GAUGAACGCUGGCGGCGUGCCUAAUACAUGCAAGUCGAGCGAACAGACGAGGAGCUUGCUCCUCUGACGUUAGCGGCGGACGGGUGAGUAACACGUGGAUAACCUACCUAUAAGACUGGGAUAACUUCGGGAAAUCGGAGCUAAUACCGGAUAAUAUAUUGAACCGCAUGGUUCAAUAGUGAAAGACGGUUUUGCUGUCACUUAUAGAUGGAUCCGCGCCGCAUUAGCUAGUUGGUAAGGUAACGGCUUACCAAGGCAACGAUGCGUAGCCGACCUGAGAGGGUGAUCGGCCACACUGGAACUGAGACACGGUCCAGACUCCUACGGGAGGCAGCAGUAGGGAAUCUUCCGCAAUGGGCGAAAGCCUGACGGAGCAACGCCGCGUGAGUGAUGAAGGUCUGCGGAUCGUAAAACUCUGUUAUUAGGGAAGAACAAAUGUGUAAGUAACGAUGCACGUCUUGACGGUACCUAAUCAGAAAGCCACGGCUAACUACGU
rnacentral:rRNA from 1 species